UAGCAUAGCUACUUGCAUCAUAGUAGAUAUGAUGCAAGAUCGACUAUGUUGAAUAAAAUUCUAGGUAGAAUUAUGAUAAUGACAUUGUCUGCCUAUGUGUCUUGACMAAUUACGUGCCWGCWGUCGCGGUAAUACGUAGAAGACUAGUGUUAUUCAUGUUUAAUCGGUUUAAAGGGUACCUAGACGGUAGAUCAAGCUUUCUAAUAAAGGAAAAGGACUAAUUUACUAGAGUUACUUAUGAGGGGGUAUUAAAGUACUGCUGGUGUAGAGAUGAAAUUCUGUCAUACCUCUUUUCAAAAGAAAAACCAUGGCACAGGUAUAGGCGAAGGCAUCCCCUUAUGUGAUAACUGACGUUGAGGGACGAAGGCUUUGUGUAGCGAACAGGAUUAGAUACCCCAGUAGUCGAAGCAGAAAAUGAUGAAUGUCAUAGAUUAGAUAUAUAAGUUUAUUCUAUAAAUGAAAGUGUAAGCAUUCCACCUCAUGAGUAAUUUGGCAACAUUGGAACUGAAAUCAUUAGACCGUUUCUGAAACCAGUAGUGAAGUAUGUUGUUUAAUUUGAUGAUCCGCAAAAAACCUUACCACAAUUUGAAUAUUUAUAUUAUUUAUUGUUUUAUUAUUAAUUUUCUUAUAGUAAGAAUAUUAAUAAAGAGGCAAUAAGAUAUAUUUACAAGCGUUGCACGGCUGUCUUCAGUUAAUGUCGCGAGACUUUGGUUAGUUCCAUUAAAUUAACGUAAACCCUUACUUUAUUUUUAUAUAGAGUAGUUCCCCGCUAUAUUGGAUAUGAUAACAGG
rnacentral:rRNA from 1 species